GCCCGCCUCCCCCAAUACCCUCCCCCGCCCUCUCCCCCUCCCCUCGGCCGGCAGGGGAAGUCGUUCUGACCCCAGGGCUGCCCGGAGGCCUUCUCGGCUCUGUCUCCUGGAAACUCGCCGGGGCUGGGGGCUUCUGCUCGCCCGCUGCGGCCUCGUUAUGAUCUGAACCCCCAGAAGACGUCGGGGAGUCGGGUUUACCGCCAUGUCCCGGGAAGGGACUCGUCUGCAGGCCACAGCCCCAGACUCGUCUUUACGUUUCAAGGCAGGGGUUUUUUACGUGUUUUUAAGAGAGGGAUUUUGUCAGAUUUGGGCAAGGGUGAGUUUGAUUUGCCAAAAACUGAAGAGCAGGAGAGGGCCGGCGGCAAUGUUGAAAGCGUGCGGAAAAACGUAAUCCACCCACUCUCUGUUGUGUUGUGAGCGUUUUCUUUAGUGUUCUUGGACAUUUUGUCUGGGAGCAACUUUUGUACAAGACAUUAGUUAUGCCAAUCAACAUAAGGGUCAUUGUUUCAUUAUCCAAAAACAUCAGUCGGUUUGUGUCAUUUUUCUUCCCCGCCAACGCAUACAUUCCAAUACAUCGGUUGUGAAUUAGAUCAGUUGCCUUACUAGAGACACCUUAAUCAAGCCGCUUUCUCUCUUAUCCGAGAGGCAUUUUAUCCUCUCUUGCUUCAUAUUCUUCGAACACAUAUACACAAACAAAAACUCAAAAUAUUAUGCCUUUUUUCUCUCCUGUCUUCCUUAAUCAUGGGCAUGUUUAAUUCCCCUUUAAAACUCUUCCCUGAGUCAAAAGUGCGAUGCAUAAGUACCUGUAAAGAAUUCCUCUGGAAUUACCUUGAGGGGAUCCUAGUAUAUAAGCGUUGUGGAUUUAUUAAUUCAACAUUUAUUAGGCUCUCGUUGUGCUCAUCUUUGUAGAUGCAGAUUAAGAUGUCAUGCGUUGCCUCUAAGGAGCUAAGAUGAGGGACAAGGAAAAUGUCAGGUGGUGCUAGGAGUUUGCGGAGUGAUUAACACGGAUGACUCCCUAAUGUGCUUCUCUCCAGCUUUCUUCUCGCAACUGAGCUUCUGAGCACUUACUCCUUCCAAAUGAACACAGAAACAGAGCAAUGGCUUCUCCAUCAUGCCAGAAAUGGAAACAAUGAAGAAGUAAGACAGCUAUUAGAAACCAUGGAAAGGAAUGAAGUAAUUGCUGACAUUCAUUGUAAAGGAGUCAGUAUAUAAUGCUGAUACUGCUGUUAUUAAUGGGAGUGGACAGACAGCAAAAGAAGUCACUCAGGACAAAGAAAUCAGAAACAUGCUUGAAGUUACAAAAUAAUGUCCACUUGUCAGACAUCUUCAGCUGUAGAAAGGACUGAACAAAGAAAUAUUGAAGAAUUACGUUUAGCAGCAGCAAGAGAAGGCAAAACAGCACAACUCCUACUCUGGUAGGUAUUAUUUUGCCACUGACCAGAGAGAAAAGGUAGUCUGAGGGAACAACCCUGGACCAGCACAGAGGGUCUUGGUCCCAGUCCUGCCCGUGCCUGUGUGUGGCUUUGAGUAAGGCAACCAGUCAGCAGUGUGGAAAUACAAUGGAAAGAAUGUAGAUUUGCCACCAAAAAGACCUGAGGAAGAAAAUCAUGCUGACUGAACAGAUCACAAUAUCCCACUCCUCAAAGACCUGGAAAUGGAAAACAAAACUUGUGUUUUUCUUUGGUAAGUCUUCUAACUUCCAGCCCUAACCUUGCAUUCUCACCUCUAAUGGAUCUACCUUGGCUCAUUCUGGCUGUUUUUUUUUUUUUUUAAAUUUUUUCCUAAGCCAAUCUCUGGUUUGUCUGUGUUUUUACUACUAGUUGUUUGAUUUGUCUGAUUAUUAUCUUCAGAUUCUUGGCUCCAAAUAUCACAAAGUGCACCCUGGUAAAUUUAAAUAGAAGACCAAUUCACCAGAAUGGUAACAAUAAAUGGUAGACUGGGGAACCAUGCUUUGGCAGGGACCUACGGAGGGCAGACACAGAUAGGAUCAGCCCACAGGAGCAGUCUGCAUAGGAACACUGGACUCCCCCAUCACUCUGUGCUCUGCAAAAGCCACACAGCAAAUCAUCUCUAAUCCCACCAGUCAUUCCCUGAAGUUUCCUAUUUUCUGCAUUAAGCUUCUAGUUGGCUGCAUAUAGUCACUGACUCAUAUUCCAGCUACCAGGGAGAAGACAGACAGACUCUCCAUCCCGCUUUGGUCUCCUCAGAGGGAGGUGUGUCUUGCCUCCUUCUUGUCCUGAGAUCCCCUGAUCCAUUGCUAUCCACUCCUGCUGCCUGUUUCUCGAGAGAACGGACUGAAAAGAAUAAAGCAACACUGCUGCAAAGAUACUAUCACGGGUGGUGCAAUGGCCAGUCCCAUCAAAGGACUUGUUACCUUAUUUUCAAAUGGCACAACUGCCUACCACUUAUUCCUGGCAACAUGGAAAGGAACUUGACAUCUCGAUACUCAGAGAAAAUGAAGACAGUGAAGGGAGGUAAUAUCUUGGGAGCCAGAAGUCUAGUCUCUGGUAAAUGACACUCAUGUCUAUUUGUUUACUAUUUACACACUCUCUCAUUUGUUUUAGAUUCAAGCACCUAACAAUAAUUCAUAGUCUGUGAAAUUCUGCCUCGAAUAAACACAUAGGAAUUGGGGACUUAUUGCACAGGGUUUCUUUAAACUGUUCCGUACAAGACCCAGCACAGUGCCAUACUCAUUAGAAUUCUUAAUAAUGAGUCAUUGAUGACAAAAACUAUGAGGUGUAUGACGAAAAGAUAAAAAAGAAAUAAAAAAUCAAAACACAGCUACACAGCACUGGUUAAGAUUGAAAAUGUCCACUAAUCUGUAUGCAACAUGAAGUUCUAAGGCAUUUUCACAUACUUGAAAUAUAAACUUGUCAUUUUGAAAAAUUAAAAGGAAUACUACGCCAUUAAAGAUGUAUUGGGUAGACUUGCAGCACGUGUGCGACCAGUUAUGUUAGCGGUGCCAAAAUCGGAGGAGAUGGGCCAGAGAGGAGAAGGGAAGAAAGGUGAGUGAAGCCAAAAAUCUGACAGUGUAACGGGUCCCAAAAUGAAAUAGUAUGCAUACAGCCAAAGAGAAAGUAGAAUUAUAAAUUAAGCCAACAGAAAAUGGUGUGACACCACCAAAAACAUUAGCAAAUACAGCCCCCAAAAAAUAUGAAUAAUGAUAAAAAUGGCGUUUUGAAGUGAAGCAAGUUUAACCAUUUGAAACUUCUUAAAGCUAGUAUGGCAAAGCUAGUCUGCAACCAUAUAUGAACUCUGUUGAUUUAAACCCUGCUUAUAUUACAUAUAGGGAAAGAGAAGGGAAUUUGACACUUAAUGAUCACCUACUAUGUAGCAGUCACUUAAUAUACCUCACUUAAUACUCAUACCCCCAAACCCUACCAUAUUGGGAGCAUUGUGCUCACUUAACUGAUGAGCAAACUAAAGCUUGCAGAGUUAAGUUUCUCAAGAUUAUAUUAGCAAGUUAAUAACAGUAACUAGCAUUCAAAUCACGAUGUGCCAGCUUUCAAAACUUAUCUACCUCAAUUUUUUUUUCCUUUCACAAAUAUUAGAUGGGAUAUGGAGAUCCCUGGUUGCCCCUCAAUGGAUGUUUUUACAAAACUGCUAAUUUUUCCAAACAGGUUCCAUCAAAUUUUUUGACUAAGAAAAGAUCUGUAUCCCCUUCCAAACUGACUUCAAUACUCUACUAAACCAAAGAUUUGUAAGACUGCUCCUUCAUGUCUUGUUCAUCAUAACAUUUCCAGAAUCUACCCCUUCCCAAUUAUGAAACUCCUAAGUGACUUCUUCCUUUAAAGUGGGGUUAGAAAAUUAAGAAUACUUACAAAAUAUACAUAAAAUAGAUUUUAAGACAAGAGCAUCCAUCCAAGUAACUAAUAAACUUAGAAAACGCAUUCUUUGAAAAGUGGCCACAAUUAAGAAGUCAAAGGACAUCUGAGCUCAAUAGGUAGUUUUCUCUGACUAUUGUUUCCAUGGCUCACGAGACCAUGUCCAACAUUAAUAAAACCUAAAAUGAACUAUUGUCAUGUUUCCUGCUUGUAAAAAUCACACAAAUAUUAAAAAAGAAGAAAGUAACAAGGCCUAUCAUAUGUACUUUCCUAGAAUGUCAUACCAUCCAAGACCAAAUGACAUUCAGAAUCACACCACAAAUAUUAUAAGACCAAGAAAACACAAAAAUGCAUUCAGCAGAAUUCAACUUGGUUUAUUAAGUUAGGCGGGAAUCUUGGCUAAUUCUUACAAGAUAAGACUUCCAAUAAGAGUCGAAACCAAAAUCAUUUCAUUUGAUUAUAAAUAUAUAUAUCUUUGUGAGUUGGAAAGGGAACAAGAGGGAGGAAAAUAAUCAAAAAAGAUACGAGUAGGCUUGGUAAAUGCUGGAUGGAAAAGCCAUUCAUUCAACAAAUAUGCACAAACAUCGAAUGUGUACCAGGCUGUGUACUGAGUUUUGGGAUACGGCGGUAAACACAAUGGAAGCAGCAUCUGCUCUCAUGGAGCUCAACAGUUAAUAGGAAGAAUCUACCACCUAGUAAACAAGACUGGUCUUCUCUCCAAAAGUUGGAAAUGAAGCACAGUUAGUCUCUGUUUGAAAGUUUUAGGAUCUUGUGAAGAAACAAGAUAAAACAGCGAGGUAGGUUCUGGCCAAAAGAAAAUCCAAGAUAAACAAGUUCAAAGAAGGGAGAGAACAACAGACCCCCCCUUCUGAUUCUUCCCCUCUGGAGGCAGCCGUAUUGGCUGUGAUAAUUAAUUUUGUGUGUCAACUUGACUGGAUCACAGGGUGCCCAGAUAUUUGGCUAACUGCCAUCUCUGGGUACAUCUCUGAGGGUGUUUCCAAAAGAGACUAGCGUUUGAAUCAGUAGACUGAACAAAGAAGAUGGCCUUCCCCAGUGUGAGCGGGCAUCAUCCAAUCUAUUGAGGGCCUGAACAGAACAAACAGGAAUGAAGGAAUGGAGAAUUUGAUUUCUCUGCCUGAGUGAAUGAGCUGGCACACCAGCCUCCUGCCCUUAGACUGGGACUUACACCAUCGGCCCUCUGAUUCUCAGAACUACACCACCAGUUUUUCUGGGUCACCAGCUUGCAGAUGACAGAGCAUGAGACUUCUCGGCCUCCAUAAUCAUGAGAUCCAAUUUCUUAUAAUCGAUCUCUCUAUACAUAUGUAUGUGAUAUAUAUAUGUGAGAUAUAUACAUAUAUAUAACUCCUAUUGGUUCUGUUUCUCUGGAGAACCCUAUUACAUUGGCUUUUUACUGUCUUGGCCUAGGUCACAACUGUUACUCCAGGGUUUUGCACACCCCUCCUCCUGGAAUACUCUUAAAGCCUUUUAUCACAAAACAAACUCCUGCAAUCCUGAGGUCUCAGCUCAAACAUCACUUCCUCAGUGACAGCCUCCCUGAUCCGCUCACCCACCAAAUAAGGUCUCCCUACAUUCCCUCAGAACUUAUAUUUCACAUUGGUUAACCUCAGUUCACUUGUGAUUAUUUCUUCAGUGUAAAAGUAUGACUUUUUUUUUUAAAGAUUGGCACCUGACGCUAUUGCCGAUCUUUUUUUUUUUUCCUGCUUUUUUUUUUCUCCCCAAAUCCUCCCAGCA